CCUACGGGAGGCAGCAGUGGGGAAUAUUGGACAAUGGGCGAAAGCCUGAUCCAGCAAUGCCGCGUGAGUGAUGAAGGCCUUCGGGUCGUAAAGCUCUUUUACCAGGGAUGAUAAUGACAGUACCUGGAGAAUAAGCUCCGGCUAACUCCGUGCCAGCAGCCGCGGUAAUACGGAGGGAGCUAGCGUUGUUCGGAAUUACUGGGCGUAAAGAGUACGUAGGCGGUUAUUCAAGUCAGAGGUGAAAGCCCGGGGCUCAACCCCGGAACUGCCUUUGAAACUAGAUAACUAGAGUCUUGGAGAGGUUAGUGGAAUUCCGAGUGUAGAGGUGAAAUUCGUAGAUAUUCGGAAGAACACCAGUGGCGAAGGCGACUAACUGGACAAGUACUGACGCUGAGGUACGAAAGCGUGGGGAGCAAACAGGAUUAGAUACCCUGGUAGUCCACGCCGUAAACGAUGAUAACUAGUUGUUCGGUCACUUGGUGACCGAGUGACGCAGACUACGCAUAAUUAUCGUCCUCGGGAGGUACGGUCGCGAAGAAUUAAAACUAACAAAGAAAGUUAGUACGGCGUGAGAAGUGCCGAACGGACGACGACGAGGGGAAGGAGG
rnacentral:rRNA from 1 species